CCUACGGGAGGCAGCAGUGGGGAAUUUUGGACAAUGGGCGCAAGCCUGAUCCAGCAAUGCCGCGUGAGUGAAGAAGGCCUUCGGGUUGUAAAGCUCUUUUGUCAGGGAAGAAACGGUGGGGGCUAAUAUCUCCUGCUAAUGACGGUACCUGAAGAAUAAGCACCGGCUAACUACGUGCCAGCAGCCGCGGUAAUACGUAGGGUGCAAGCGUUAAUCGGAAUUACUGGGCGUAAAGCGUGCGCAGGCGGUUUUGUAAGUUUGUCGUGAAAUCCCCGGGCUCAACCUGGGAAUGGCGAUGAAGACUGCAAGGCUAGAAUCUGGCAGAGGGGGGUAGAAUUCCACGUGUAGCAGUGAAAUGCGUAGAGAUGUGGAGGAACACCGAUGGCGAAGGCAGCCCCCUGGGUCAAGAUUGACGCUCAUGCACGAAAGCGUGGGGAGCAAACAGGAUUAGAUACCCUGGUAGUCCACGCCCUAAACGAUGUCUACUAGUUGUCGGGUUUUAAUUAACUUGGUAACGCAGCUAACGCGUGAAGUAGACCGCCUGGGGAGUACGGUCGCAAGAUUAAAACUUAAAGAUAGUUGCGUGNGAGNGCGACGACGACGACGAGGAGGAGG
rnacentral:rRNA from 1 species